CCCGCUUUAAACCGCCGCUCCCGGCUGUGUAAGCUCUAUAGUAGAGUCAGCGAUUUAUUCCUUACCCUAAAACGUGAUAGGUUUAAAGAACUUUGAAGUCCGAGGAUGGGAAUUGGUGAUCGUUGCAAGUAACUCUCGCUCACAUUUGACUGUCAACUCUCAAAUUAUGACUCUCGUGCUGUCGUGCAUUCUCAUCAACUUUCACAUUUGACUUUAAGCUGGUUCAAAUUUUGAUGACAGCCAACUCUCAUCCAAACUCUCGCUUCUCAACUCUCGCCAAUUCUUACUCUCCUUUGACCAGAGCUCCAGAGUUUAAGAAGAAAGAUUGAAUCAAAACAUGAUUUGCACUUUAUAAUUACCUUGUUUCUACAUGUAAUUUCGUAGUCAUGCACAGUUCCUCUAUUUUUGAGCUAAACAAGCAACCGCUUUAGGUGCAAAGCAUCUUUAUUCAUCUCAUCAAUUCAGUGAAUUCACCAUUUAAUUAAUAAAAGACAAUCAUUCAGCAAAAUUUCAUGUCAACAAAUCCGCCAUGUU